CCAGGAGGUGUUGGAAGAGGUUUAAUGGAAGCUAUUUACUGGCACCGCACCGGCGAGCAACAGGAGGGAGACUCAGCCGCUGCAUUGUUGGAGACGUUCGAGGACGAAUCCCUUUCCACAUGCGAAGCCUACUCCACCUCCGUCGCGGAGCCCCCGGCUGCCCUGUCUCCUCUCCACCACCAGCAGCAGCUCCUCUCCAGCACCAGCUCGGACACCGACACCAGCACGUCACAGCAACGUCUUAUCACCGGCAAGAGGAAAAGGGGCAACAGAAAAUUGGACCUUCCUAGCGUACUUGUGGAGAUGCAGGCUGAGGAGGAGUGGAGUCAUGCCCAGCAUGAUGAGAACAUCUGGUUGCUCCUCAGCGAGGCAAGAGAGAAUGAAGCUGCCUUGCAGCGGGAGGAGAUGGCCCAGAAUACUGCCUUCAACCAGUCAUUCCUGGGUGUGCUGGGGUAGCUGGGGUAGCUGGGUAGGCAGUGGGCAGCCGGCGAGUGUGAGCGAGUCCACCUCCCAUAGACUUGAGAUUUACAAAUGCUGGUCAUAUAAUUAGAAUAUCAUGAAAAAGCUCGUCUUUUGGACAACUGUCACGUCAGCAGUCUUCCCCAUGAUUGUGUAGCCUACAGAACUAGACUGAGAGACCAUUUAAAGGCCUUUGCAGGUGUUGUGAGUUAAUUAGCUGAUUAGAGGUGUCUUCAAUAUUGAACCUUUCUACAAUAUUCUAAUUUUCAGAGAUACCAAAUUUGAGAUUUUUGUUAGUAUUCAGGUAUAAUCAAAGUUAAGAGAAAUAAACAUUUGAAAUAUAUCGGUCUCUGUGUAAUGAAUGAGUAUAAUAUACAAGUUUCACUUUUUCAAUGGAAUUACUGAAAUAAUGAACAACUUUUUUCAUGAUAUUCUAAUUAUAUGACCAGCACCUGUAGUUGUAUAUAGUUUUACUUUUAGCCCUCCACUGUAGGACAGGCCCACCACAGUUUGUACUUUGCACAUUGUAAAUAGUUUUGAUUUUGCUGCUGACUAAUAAACUAUUUUGUGACUUAUGUGAUUGCAUC
ensembl:lncRNA